rnacentral:rRNA from 1 species
ACUAGGAUUCUAGACUAAAUAUUACAAGUUUUCUAUAUGUUACCUUAAUUGGUUGCAUAUAGUAGCUAGUAAGUUUACCUUGAAAAAAUUAGAGUGCUCAAUGCGGGCUUAAUGCCUGAAUACUCGUGCAUGGAAUAAUAAAAUAGGAUCUUGGUUCUAUUUUGUUGGUUUUCUGAUCUAAGAUAAUGGUUAAGAGGGACGGACGGGGGCAUUCGUAUCGCUACGUGAGAGGUGAAAUUCUUGGACCGUAGCGAGACGUACAACUGCGAAAGCAUUUGCCAAGAAUGUCUUCAUUAAUCAAGAACGAAAGUCAGAGGUUCGAAGGCGAUCAGAUACCGCCCUAGUUCUGACCGUAAACGAUACCAACUAGCGUUCCGUUGGCGG